UCGACAAGACCACACGGAUGCUGGAACGAGUACUGAACGAAACACCAAGUACCACUACCGCCGCUAUAAUUUUGACAAGAAAUGUGUACCACUACCGUCGCCAGUACGUCUACCAUCGUCAUGUACCCCUACUUCCACUACCGUCGCGAGAACAACUACUUCCUCUACGAACUCGAACCGCUCUGAGAAUCCUCCCUUGUAAGGUAUAACCGCCGGAAUGAUGCCUGUGGACAAAUGCUUGUGAUGUGUUGUAUGAGAUGCUCCUGUUUGGCCAUGUUCGCACCGUGUCCAUUUUGUCACUCGUUUCCUUGCCACCGAUACAUGGGAAACCCGGUAUCCGGGAUCACUCCCCGUACCUCUUUCACAUUCCGCACAUCUCACAUUUGUUUCUUGCAUCGGCAUCUCAACUAGUUGUCGGAUCAUCGGAACGUUGCCGUGGCACCAUUUCCGUUUUCGCCGCCAUGACACCCCUUUCUUUCCGUCGUGGCGACCAAAUGCCCCAUAUCAUCAUCAUGUCAACUUUUUCAUAAAAUUUGCCUAAAACUUGUACAUGUCAUCCGCAUCAUGAUAACAACAUCAAGAAUGUUUAAAUUGUUGUUGCAUUAAAUUGCUAAUGCACAUGAGGAUUUACCGGAAUUGUUGUUUGAUGUUUCCGGCCUCAUUUAAAAUGCCUAAAUGUGUAGUUUACUUAUGUUUCACCUCUUGACAUGUUUAAUAACAUUUAAUAUUGUUGAGUACUUAAACGGGAGAGAACUAAAUAAUUAUUGUUGUGUUUCCUUAAUAUGCAACUCGUUGCAUAUUGAGCUCCAUUGAACUUGUAGUUUUGCUUGUGCAUUUUGCCAGGUUGUGCCUCAUUAAACCGGACAUGCAUCAUACUUGAUUUUGCAUCAUGCCAUGAUUAUGUGAUGGUUGUUUACUAUGUUGUUUGCUUCUUUCCGGUGUUGCUUCUUCGGGUUAGUUCCGAUAACGUCGCGUUUGUCAGGAUCCGUUCGACUACGUCCGCUUGCCUUCUUCAUGGACUCGUUCUUCCUCCUUGCGGUAUCUCAGGAAAGAUGACCAUACCCUCGAAAUCACUUCUAUCUUUGCUUGCUAGUCGAUCGCUCUAUUGCUAUGCCGCGCUACCUACCACUUGCUAUCUUUGCUAGUCCGGGAAGUGAACACGGUUCUUGUGUUAUGCUUGAACAUAAGUAGAUUCAGGAUCACUUCUUGAUCACUUCUAGUUCACGACCGUAGCGUUGCUUCUCUUAUUGCUCUUAUAUGCGUAAGUUAGCCACCAUAUAUGCUUAGCGCUUGAUGCAGAUCCACCUCACUAUCCCUUUCCUACCCAUAAGCUUAAAUAGUCUUGAUCUCGCGGGUGUGAGAUUGCUGAGUUCUCGUGGCUCACAGAUACUUCCAAACAGUUGCAGGUGCCGAUGAUACUAGUGCAGAUGACACCACCCAGCUCAGGUGGGAGCUCAUUGAAGAUCUUGGUCGUUGUUUUAUGUUUUUUCCAGUUGAUCAGUAUUGGAGCCCAGUUGGGACGAUCAGG
rnacentral:lncRNA from 1 species